rfam:Solanum lycopersicum cultivar Heinz 1706 chromosome 7, whole genome shotgun sequence.
UGAUCAUGAUGAGGGCAACUCAUCAACAUUGAUUUGAAUCUGUCCCAAGCUGGUAUAGGUCUUCACCACCUUUCUGCCAAAAGCUGAGAAUGUCACUUCUCAAUUU